AAUCGGAAGCUUGGCGGCUGCACUUUCCCAUGAGUUUAUCUGGCAUGUAGCCAGCUGCUCGAGGUCGAGCUGUGGCGCUGAUGCUGAUGCUGCUUCAGUGCGACCUAGGUCGUGGUAGGAAAAGUGAUGGAUGACGUCGGCACUUUGGACGUCGAGGAACCCAAGCCAAUAAUAGAAGACUUCGGAGCUGCAGACGCGUCCGUGGCGACCGUCACGGUCGGAGGGACGUUCGAGGCCGCCGUUACGCUGAUGGUCGAAGACGUUCUACUCCUCAUCGACAUGGACUCAGAGGCCAUGUUCCUGCAGCACAUUUAGUGAGAAUGAACUGUGUAUGUUCAAGUGUAAUUUUGUGUUUCAAUUUUUCUUCGGGACCAGUAUAAAUAUCCGUAGUGUUUAAAAUUAUACCGGUUCAUUAUAGGGAAUAUUGAUGAAAAGUGCAUUUCAAAGGCUUUAUAAGAAGGAAGUGUAAGUCAGAAUACUUAUCUAUCCGAAUUUCCAGAUUACCAUUAUUUUUUGGAGUAAAUGAGAACCGCAUAAUCGGGAGCCGACCGUAAGCCGUUGUCUCACCUCGCUAUAAUUAGAUGUGAUAUCUUUACCAGAAAUUGGUAAAGUGAAUUCUUUUAUGAAGAUAUACUUUUACACAAUAUUUCUUCCACAAUUUAAGCGUUAUCGAGUGUCCCAGUUUUGUGUACUGUAUUUUUACAAUGAUAAUGAAUCAUUGGAAUAUUGAAUGAUUUCCAAUGAUAAUUAAUCAUUCACAUGCUUAUGAAUGACGGCGAAUUUAUGCAAUCCAUUCUUGAUGUAUGUCUUCCAAUGUGCUUCCAUUAGUGUGCAGAAAAUCAAAUGCAGAGGAACUCUGUCUUUUCGUUUGACCAAUCAGCAGAUUUUUGAUUGGGUAGACUCUUAUAUUAAGCAUCUUUAUAUUUCACGCAAAAAAAGUCUCUAGUUGAACAACAGCCCUAGGUAUUUCCCAACAAGCUCGUGAUUGGGAUUAGGUCCUUACUUCGAAUAUUGCAUGUUGCUGCGAACGUGAAUUUAUUGUUAUAAUUAUACACUUUUUCUUGUAUUUGUACGGGGCUUUUAUGCCUAGAUUGUUCAAUAUUAUAAAGGAGUAAUUCUCUAAGCAAUUAUUACUUGAAGAAUGGAGCGUUGCAGCGGUUCACCGUAGGCCGUUACAGGUCUGCGAAAGUGAUGACAUGUACAUCCUAAUAAAUUGUGAAUUUACA